UACAGAGGGGGCAAGCGUUGUUCGGAAUUACUGGGCGUAAAGGGCGCGUAGGCGGCCGCCUAAGUCAGACGUGAAAUCCCUCGGCUCAACCGGGGAACUGCGUCUGAUACUGGGUGGCUUGAAUUCGGGAGAGGGAUGCGGAAUUCCAGGUGUAGCGGUGAAAUGCGUGGAUAUCUGGAGGAACACCGGUGGCGAAGGCGGCAUCCUGGACCGACAUUGACGCUGAGGCGCGAAAGCCAGGGGAGCAAACGGG
rnacentral:rRNA from 1 species